rnacentral:rRNA from 1 species
AACGAACGCUGGCGGCAUGCCUAACACAUGCAAGUCGAACGAGACCUUCGGGUCUAGUGGCGCACGGGUGCGUAACGCGUGGGAACCUGCCCUUAGGUUCGGAAUAACUCCCCGAAAGGGGUGCUAAUACCGGAUAAUGUCUUCGGACCAAAGAUUUAUCGCCUUUGGAUGGGCCCGCGUUGGAUUAGCUAGUUGGUAGGGUAAAAGCCUACCAAGGCGACGAUCCAUAGCUGGUCUGAGAGGAUGACCAGCCACACUGGGACUGAGACACGGCCCAGACUCCUACGGGAGGCAGCAGUGGGGAAUAUUGGACAAUGGGCGAAAGCCUGAUCCAGCAAUGCCGCGUGAGUGAUGAAGGCCCUAGGGUUGUAAAGCUCUUUUACCCGGGAUGAUAAUGACAGUACCGGGAGAAUAAGCUCCGGCUAACUCCGUG